rnacentral:rRNA from 1 species
GAGUUUGAUCUUGGCUACAGAUUGGAACGCUGGGCGGCAUCGCCUUACACAUGCAAGUCGAACGGCAGCACGGGAGCUUGCUCCUGGUGGCGAGUGGCGAACGGGUGAGUAAUGCAUCGGAACGUAUCCUGGAGUGGGGGAUAACGUAGCGAAAGUUACGCUAAUACCGCAUAUUCUGUGAGCAGGAAAGCGGGGGACCUUCGGGCCUCGCGCUCUUGGAGCGGCCGAUGUCGGAUUAGCUAGUUGGUGAGGUAAAGGCUCACCAAGGCGACGAUCCGUAGCAGGUCUGAGAGGAUGAUCUGCCACACUGGAACUGAGACACGGUCCAGACUCCUACGGGAGGCAGCAGUGGGGAAUUUUGGACAAUGGGGGCAACCCUGAUCCAGCCAUGCCGCGUGAGUGAAGAAGGCC